UACCAGCACCCCGAGUGGUCGGGACGUUUAUUGGGCCUAAAGCAUCCGUAGCCGGUUCUACAAGUCUUCCGUUAAAUCCACCUGCUUAACAGAUGGGCUGCGGAAGAUACUAUGGAGCUAGGAGGCGGGAGAGGCAAGCGGUACUCGAUGGGUAGGGGUAAAAUCCGUUGAUCCAUUGAAGGCCACCAGUGGGGAAGGCGGGUUGCCAGAACGCGCUCGACGGUGAGGGAUGAAAGCUGGGGGAGCAAACCGG
rnacentral:rRNA from 1 species